rnacentral:rRNA from 1 species
GUGUCAGCCGCCGCGGUAAUACGGAGGGGGCUAGCGUUGUUCGGAAUUACUGGGCGUAAAGCGCACGUAGGCGGCUUGAUAAGUUAGAGGUGAAAGCCCGGGGCUCAACUCCGGAAUAGCCUUUAAGACUGUCUCGCUUGAACGUCGGAGAGGUGAGUGGAAUUCCGAGUGUAGAGGUGAAAUUCGUAGAUAUUCGGAAGAACACCAGUGGCGAAGGCGGCUCACUGGACGACUGUUGACGCUGAGGUGCGAAAGCGUGGGGAGCAAACAGGAUUAGAUACCCCGGUAGUCC